AACGAACGCUGGCGGCAUGCCUAACACAUGCAAGUCGAACGAGACCUUCGGGUCUAUUGGCUCACGGGUUCGUAACGCGUGGGAACCUUCCCUUAUGUUCGGAAUACCUCCCCGAAAGGGGUGCUAAUACCGGAUAAUGUCUUCUGACCAAAGAUUUAUCGCCUUUGGUUGGGCCCGCGUUGGAUUAGCUAGUUGGUAGGGUAAAAGCCUACCAAGGCGACGAUCCAUAGCUGGUCUGAGAGGAUGAUCAGCCACACUGGGACUGAGACACGGCCCAGACUCCUACGGGAGGCAGCAGUGGGGAAUAUUGGACAAUGGGCGAAAGCAUGAUCCAGCAAUGCCGCGUGAGUGAUGAAGGCAGUAGGGUUGUAAAGCUCUUUUAACCGGGAUGAUAAUGACAGUACCGGGAGAAUAAGCUCCGGCUAACUCCGUG
rnacentral:rRNA from 1 species